rnacentral:misc_RNA from 1 species
GGGAAAUCGAAAAUUUUCGGCAGCAUCGCCGGGGCAAUACACAUAAAACCAAGCGGUUUUCCGGCCUGAUGCAUCGCUUGUGCCAGCGCCUUUAAUUCACGGUCAACGGUGCAUUCGCUACCAAGACUGGCAAAAUUGCUUAAAUUCUUCGCCGCGCCAAACCCCCCCGGCACAAUCAAC